rnacentral:rRNA from 1 species
AACGAACGCUGGCGGCAGGCUUAACACAUGCGAGUCGAGCGCCCCGCAAGGGGAGCGGCAGACGGGUGAGUAACGCGUGGGAAUCUACCCAUCUCUACGGAAUAACGCAUGGAAACGUGUGCUAAUACCGUAUACGUCCUUCGGGAGAAAGAUUUAUCGGAGAUGGAUGAGCCCGCGUUGGAUUAGCUAGUUGGUGGGGUAAAGGCCUACCAAGGCGACGAUCCAUAGCUGGUCUGAGAGGAUGAUCAGCCUCACUGGGACUGAGACACGGCCCAGACUCCUACGGGAGGCAGCAGUGGGGAAUAUUGGACAAUGGGCGCAAGCCUGAUCCAGCCAUGCCGCGUGAGUGAUGAAGGCCCUAGGGUUGUAAAGCUAAGGCACCGGUGAAGAUAAUGACGGUAACCGGAGAAGAAGCCCCGGCUAACUUCGUGCCAGCCGCCGCGUAAAAC